UCCUCGAAUUAGUCUAAGAAGUGUUUAUAUAAUUUACAAUGAAGCUGUUAUCAUUUUUGAGGUCUUCAUUUUAUAGUGGUAAAUAAUUUAGUAAAUUCGAAUUUGCGACUUAUCGGAUUUGAAAUUCAAUUGUAUUGGCGGACAAAAAAAACGACGGGUUGACAGACAAAGUUGUAUAUUCCAAACAAAAGAAAAAGAUUGUGAAAAUUAUGAUAAUUCAACAUGUGUCAAAAGUUCAGGAGGAAGAUGAAAAUAUUUAGAGGAAAAGAAAAAUGAAAACCUACCAAGAUUUUGUGACAGAAAGUGUGAUGAGAUCUCAGGUUGGGGACGGUAAUGAUACGCUUAAAGUAUGCCCCAGAUCGACAUAGUGGAGGUGGACGAAAGAAGCUAGAAUACUAAUGAAGAUACAUGAACAUUGCUAUUUAUUAUAACAAAAUAUUCAGAAUAUGUUCCAUUUAACAUUCAGAUCUAGAUUCAGUUAUAAAAUACAAAGACAAAUAUACAAUCAGUGAGUUGGAUAGAUGAUUGAAAAAUCCCAAACUCAGAGUGAUCAGUUCAGUGGUGAUAUAAGAAAAAACACAUGCAUGGAUGUUUGCUAUAUAAAAUGUCAGUGUUAAUAUUCAAGAAGGAUUUUGUUUAUCUUAUUUCUAAAACAUGCUUAAUUAAUACAUGAAGCAAUAUUAAAGUACAUACCAUCAAGUUUAAUA